rnacentral:misc_RNA from 1 species
GUAGGUGAACCUGCGGAAGGAUCAUUACAGAGUAAACUUGGUGGGUUGUUGCUGGCUCUCAAUUUGAGGGUAUGUGCACGCCUGUCAUCUUUAUCUUUCCACCAUGUGCACCCUGUGUAGGUCUUUGGAAGGCAAAUAAGCCUAGCUGAUUCUUCAGCUACUGGGAAGUUGCUGCCUCUUGGUGGCUCUUCCUGUUCUGGCUUGUCUCUCCAACAGGCUCUACGAUUUAUUCAUAUACACCUUUGUAUGU